rnacentral:lncRNA from 1 species
CAAUGAGGCAGCAAGUUAGACAAGACUAGGAGUCAAGGAGGAUUCUGGGAAAUGUAGUAAAAAAGUGGUGAUCCAGGCAGGAAGUGACAGCAGAGAGACUCAUAUUUAAGCAAGGACAACAGGAAGUGGUUCCUUUCCCCUUCGCUCUUCUUCCUGCUCUGUGCUCUGAGCCAUCAUGUGAUCCCGGGGAUGAGGAUGCCAGUGGAAGGCAUCUGAUAAGAUAAGUCUUAUAAAAUAUAUAGAUUUAUGAUAAUUAAGACUUGGCUAGCAGAUGAGAAAUCCUAGUCAUUGGCCAAGCAGCAUUUGUACCUAAUAUAAGUCUCUGUGUAUUAUUUUGGCCAUCCACGUGGCAGGCAGAACUCAAGCGAGUAGUGGAAAGAUUUAUCGAGACAGGGAACACUCCUCCACUGCUGGUGGGAGUGAAAACUUGUACAGCCACUUUGGAAAUCAGUAUGACAGUUCCUCAGUAAAAUGGGAAUCAGUCUACCACAAAAUCCAGCAAUUCCACUCUUAGGCAUAUACCCAAAAGAUGCACAUUCCUACAAGACAUCUGUUCAACUAUGUUCAUAGCAACAUUAUUUGUAAUAGCCAGAACCUGGAAGCAACCAAGGUGCCUCUCAACUGAAGAAUGGAUAGAGAAAAUGUGGUACAUUUACACAAUGGAGUACUACUGGGGCUGGGGGGAAGGAACAAUGGAAUCUUGAAAUUCGAAGGCAAAUGGAUGGAACUCGAAGAAACCAUCCUGAGCAAGGCUUCACUCUCGAUGCUGGACUGUUAUCUGACAUCACUGCUGGGGACAGAUCUACUUUGCAGCUCCUAUGAGCCUGAGCUCUGGAAUCCUGCACCUGCUCAGGUCCCAGCUCCACUGGCCACUUCUGUGUGCUGCAGAAAAAUGUUGCUAACCCCUGGCCUUCAACAAUGCCUGAGGAGGCUUUCUGAGGAUGAGUGAUGCCCACGCUGAGUCCCGGCUGUGGGGAAGCUUUAGACCUACCAGAAAUUUCCUCUUGCUGCUUUUGGUUUCCUUUGGCAGGUGAGCUUUCCCCCUGAACUAACUAGCAUUUAAAUAUGACACCUUGAUUAGUAACUGCAUCACAGUGUGACUAGCUGUACUGGUGGGGGCAGGGCCCCUGGUGAAAAAGAAAGGGGAAAAGGAAUAGUUGGGAAGAGAGAGGAGGAGGCCUGGGAAUCCUCCUUCUCACAGAAG